UAGCACAUAGACAUUUUACAAGGCUACUCUGAAGGGCACCCAAGAACAUAUACAAAAUACAAAUUGUACAGCUCUGACUCUAGGCUACAAUGAAAGGACAACCCAUUCGGUAAUGCAUGCUACAGGGAAUGACAGUUACUUCCCUCAGUGCUGUGACCAAUGGGCAAUAAAAUAGGUCUAAUUGGAGGAGAAGAGAAUUGUAAGAAAAGUUUUUACAAUCACAUCAGACUAUGGGCUUGUCAAAGAAAAAUUGCCAAAGACACGGAAACAGUGUUGAUUUGAAGCUGCCAGGGGAAGAUUUUCACUUCACUGAGAGAGGCAGAGCAGAGAAUAUCUCCUGGUGUCCUUGCUAAUUCUGGUCAUUCCUGCUGACUUGUGCCAAUUUGGCGGAGGCCUGGCAGUUUCUGCUGGAUCUUGCUGCUGCUGCCGAUUCAAGUUUGGUAUCCUGACACUACUGUACUGAACUGCUGGUAUCCUGACAAAUGGAGAUUGGAAUCACCCCAGUGAAUUACUUUUAAACAGGUCCACACCCCCUUGUCUUAUUUACCAUCUUUUCUCCCUGUCUUUGGAUGGUGAGCUAGAAGGGGUGUGGAAGUGUUUGAGAAAUCUUAUUCAAAACCUAAAAAAGUAGGUUUUGAAAAACCUAAGCCUAAAGUCCACAGAAUUUGAUGCUCACUUGAAUGAAAAGGGGAAGAUAGAUUGAAGCGCAAUCAUCUAACUAGAGUUGGGCUCCCCAAAC
rnacentral:lncRNA from 1 species